AGCAGUAGGGUCCUGUGUCCUGUGCCACCAGAGGGGUCUUUGAGAAGGAGCUGGAUCAGGUUUCAUUGUCAAGGCCACUUAAUAUCUUGGGGUAACUGGGAGUGCUCCCUCCUAAAGUGGGAGUGCUCCCUCCUAAACCAGAAACAUCUGCCAAAUCCCCUGCUCAAUCCCCAGCUGCAAUGGAGCUGAAAAUCAAAGGGCUGGGAACUGUAUGUGGAAGAAACACCAUGAACUGAAAGACAGGCAAGGCGCAUGGAAUCCCUGGGCUCCUCCCCAAGAUGGACGCUCUCAGGAGGUGUGACUGUCACGAGAACUUUUGGUCUUCACUUACCACACUGUGGAAAUCGUUAGCACUUAGUACUCGUUUUCUGCCGUGAGCAGGGCACACACACACACACCCUUUCUGCUAACUUUACAAUGGCCUGUUUUUGUUUUUAAAGAACUUCUUUAAUGUUAAUCAUUUAAACUCUAAUUUAAAAUUAUUUUUAAUGAUCUUGAGCACGCGUGUAUCUGUGUGUGGGUAUGUCCGUGUGGGUGCAGAUGCCUGUGGAACCCAGUCCUGGUCAUCUGAUGCCUCUGAUCUAGAAUUACAGGUGAUGUGAGCAAUCUGAUACGGCAGCUGGGAAUGCAGCUCCGGGCUUCUGCUCCAGCAUCCUCUUAACCUGACCACUGAGUAAUUUCUCCAGCCCCACAGUGACCCAUUCUUUUGAUGGCGAUGUGGAGAUUCUGAGAGAUUAAAUGUGACACAGCUGAUAAAUGCCUGAACCUGGGUGUCUUCAGAACCCAGCACUUAGCCUGCUCCUGGUGUCUCCACCCACGGUGACAGGGGCUUGAUAAGCAUUGACUAGGAAGAGAGGAGAGCGGGAGUUGUGCACAGCAAGGCUGUCAAUAUCCUUCUCUGGUCUCUCCCAGGACUUGCCUGAGGGAGCUCCAGAACCUUCCAGGCCUCUCAUGUCCUCUUUUUCUAGCCUUCAAAGUCAGAGACACAAUAAUCUUGUUCCCAACUUGAAAUUUUUCCAUUGCCUCUGCUGCCUUUGAGCUUGUCCUGGGAGUCUUUUCCUGAUGCGUCCCUUCCUCCAUCUCCAUUCUUCAAUUUCUACAUCCCUUCAUCCCUCCAUCCCUUUAUCCCUUCCCAUGGCUUUUGACUCUAGGCAAAGCACUCCCCAAAACCUGAGAGGAGGGGAGGGAAGGAGAGAAGAGAGAGAGAGAGAGAGAGAGAGAGAGAGAGACAGAGACAGAGAGAGACAGAGAGAGACAGAGAGAGAGACAGAGAGAGAGAGACAGAGACAGAGACAGAGACAGACAGAGACAGACAGGGACAGAGAGACAGAAACACAAACACACAGAGAGACAGAGACAGAGAGAGAGACAGAGACAGACAGAGACAGAGACAGACAGAGACAGACAGAGACAGACAGAGACAGACAGAGACAGACAGAGACAGACAGGGACAGAGAGACAGAAACACAAACACACAGAGAGACAGAGACAGAGAGACAGACCAACAGACAGACAGACACAGGGAUAGAUAGAUAGAUAGAUAGAUAGAUAGAUAGACAGACAGACAGACAGACAGAAAGAUAGAAAUCCAAAGAUGACUUGAGAGCAGAAAAAGGAGAUUUAAAAACAGGUUGAUAAACCUAAUGGUAUUGUGGAGUUUUUGUUUGGAUAAAUAUUUGGUUCCAUUUUAUUGUUGAGUAGUAUUCCAUAGGAUAGGUAUACAAUUUAUUAAACCAUCUGCCUAUUAGAAAAUAUUUUGACUAUUUUCAGUUUGGAUUACCCCCACCCUCCCACAGUACUUUAGCACGGGCAUCCCCACUUCCUUCUGAUAAGUAUAGUCAUAUAUUUCUUUAAUGUUUUCUCUCAUUGUGCCCCUAUCAUUAAUCACUAUAUUGAUUUGUUUUGCUAUGCAGUACUGAGGAUUAAACCCAAGGCUGGGCACAUGCUAGGUCAGGACACACACCCUUGCUUACUGUUAUAGUUAAAGUGAGUUUCUUGUAGGCCAUAUACAGUUGGAUCAGUUUAAUUUGUAACCCACUUUGCAAAUCCGUGUCGAUUAGUGAAUGUAUUUAGGCCAUUUACAUUUAAUGUAAUUGGUUUGGUAGGGUUUACCUUCAUUUAAAUUUUUGCUUUCUAUUUAGUCUCUGUAUAUAUUUUCUGGUUUUUUUUUCCCUUUUUGCCCUCUCAUGGGUUACUUGAACAUUACUAGAAUUCUGUUUUGGUGUCUGUAAAGUGUAAUUGAGUGCAUCUCUUUGUAUAGCUUUAAACUUUCUUUCUAGGUAUUACUUUGUAUAUGCAUAACUUGUUGUCUGUUGUUGUUGCCAUUUUACCAGUAUGAGUGAGGUGUAGAAGCUACCUCCUUUGAGGCCUCUUUCCUUCUUAAUUGAAAAUCACAAGUAUCCUAAAUGUUCUGUACUGAGAACAACAUCAGACAAUGCUAUGCCUUUUGCUUUCGUUAUCAAUUUUAACCUAGAAAACUCAUGAAAAAAAAGUGCCCAUAAUGCAGGUCUAUAUUUCUGAUUUUUAGGCUCUUCCUUCCUCAUGUUCCAAGAUUGUUUUGUCUUCUUAUUAGUCAAAGAACUCUCUUCUCAUUCUCCUAUUUUUCCUUUUGCCUGAUAAUGCCUUUUCAAGCAGUGACACUGAAGAUGGAAGCCAGGGCUUUGCGUAUGUCAGGCAAGUACUCUAGCAGUGAACUGUGCCCCAAGUCUGUCUGAUAAUGUCUUGACGUUUUCAUGAUUUCCAAAGUAUAAUUUCACUAGACAUAGAAUCUAGAGCUGACAGCCUCCCAUUCCCAGCAUUUGAAAAUGCCGUGAAAUGUUCAUCUGGGCUCUGUGUUUCCUGACGAACCACGGUCAUCUGGGCUCUUUUCUCCCAUUUAUUUAAUCUUUUUGCUUUUAGUAUCGUCCCUCCUUCUCUCCCUCCCUUCUUCCAUUUUUUUCAGGGCUAAGGAUCAAACCCAGGACCUGGAUCACACUAGGAUGGUGCUCCACACACUCAGAGCUCAGCAUCUGAUUGUCUCUGAUUUACUGAAGUUUGAUUUGUGCUUCUGGACUGGUCAUGGCCAUUGUCCUCAUGAACUCCUGGCAGCCAUGGUGACCUUCACAAGACCCUUACAAAAUCAAGCCAACAAGAGCAACCAACAUUUCAUCAGACUGCACUCUGUCUGUUAAAAACAAAGAAAAAAAAGACUGUGGAUGUGGGGGAGGAACACGGUGUGUGUGUGUGUGUGUGUGUGUGUGUGUGUGUGUGUGUGUGUGUAGUUGGGGAGGGUGCUAGGGUGCAUAUGAUCAAGAUACAGCAUGUACACAUGUAAAUGUGUUGAAGAAUGAAUAAAAGAUAUUCUAAAUAUU